GACGAACGCUGGCGGCGUGCCUAAUACAUGCAAGUCGAACGCAGUGGGGACGGGUGAGUAACACGUGGGUAACCUCCCAUCAGAGGGGAUAACACUUGGAAACAGGUGCUAAACCGAUACUGAUGGAUGGACCCGGGGGGCAUUACCGAGUUGGUGAGGUAACGGCUCACCAAGGCCACGAUGCAUAGCCGACCUGGUGGGGUAGUCGGCGACACUGGGACUGAGACACGACCCAGACUCCUACGGGAGGCAGCAGUAGGGCAUGUUCGGAAAUGGACGAAAGUCUGACCGAGAAACGCCGCGUGAGUGAAGAGGGUUUUCGGUUCGUAAAACGCUGUUGUCAGAGAAGCGGUAUCUAACCAGAAAGCCACGGCUAACUACGUGCCAGCAGCCGCGGUAAUAC
rnacentral:rRNA from 1 species